GUGCUUGCAUUGGCAGCACAUACAUUAAAACUGGAAUGAUACAGAGAAGAUUAGCAUGGUCCCUGCAUAGGGAUGACACACAAAUUCGUGAAGCAUUCCAUUAAAAU
ensembl:snRNA U6 U6 spliceosomal RNA